AGUGAACGCUGGCGGUAGGCCUAACACAUGCAAGUCGAACGGCAGCACAGGAGAGCUUGCUCUCUGGGUGGCGAGUGGCGGACGGGUGAGGAAUACAUCGGAAUCUACUUUUUCGUGGGGGAUAACGUAGGGAAACUUACGCUAAUACCGCAUACGACCUACGGGUGAAAGCAGGGGAUCUUCGGACCUUGCGCGAUUGAAUGAGCCGAUGUCGGAUUAGCUAGUUGGCGGGGUAAAGGCCCACCAAGGCGACGAUCCGUAGCUGGUCUGAGAGGAUGAUCAGCCACACGGGAACUGGGACACGGUCCAGACUCCUACGGGAGGAAGCAGGGGGGAAUAUUGGACAAUGGGCGCAAGCCUGAUCCAGCCAUACCGCGUGGGUGAAGAAGGCCUUCGGGUUGUAAAGCCCUUUUGUUGGGAAAGAAAUCCAGCUGGUUAAUACCCGGUUGGGAUGACGGUACCCAAAGAAUAAGCACCGGCUAACUUCGUGCCAGCAGCCGCCGUAA
rnacentral:rRNA from 1 species